UACCAGCACCCCGAGUGGUCGGGACGAUUAUUGGGCCUAAAGCAUCCGUAGCCGGUUCUGCAAGUCCUCCGUUAAAUUCAGCUGCUCAACAGAUGGGCCGCGGAGGAUACUACAGAGCUAGGAGGCAGGAGAGGCAAGCGGUACUCAGUGGGUAGGGGUAAAAUCCGUUGAUCCAUUGAAGACCACCAGUGGCGAAGGCGGCUUGCCAGAAUGCGCUCGACGGUGAGGGAUGAAAGCUGGGGGAGUAAACCGG
rnacentral:rRNA from 1 species